CAGCCGCCGCGGUAAUACGGAAGGUCCAGGCGUUAUCCGGAUUUAUUGGGUUUAAAGGGAGUGUAGGCGGUCUGUUAAGCGUGUUGUGAAAUUUAGGUGCUCAACAUCUAACUUGCAGCGCGAACUGGCGGACUUGAGUGCACGCAACGUAUGCGGAAUUCAUGGUGUAGCGGUGAAAUGCUUAGAUAUCAUGACGAACUCCGAUUGCGAAGGCAGCGUACGGGAGUGUUACUGACGCUUAAGCUCGAAGGUGCGGGUAUCGAACAGGAUUAGAUACCCCAGUAGUCCCUGUCUCUUAUAU
rnacentral:rRNA from 1 species